UACGAAGGGUGCAAGCGUUAAUCGGAAUUACUGGGCGUAAAGCGCGCGUAGGUGGUUCAGCAAGUUGGAUGUGAAAGCCCCUGGGCUCAACCUGGGGAACUGCAUCCAAAACUACUGAGCUAGAGUACGGUAGAGGGUAGUGGAAUUUCCUGUGUAGCGGUGAAAUGCGUAGAUAUCUGGGGGGAACAUCGGUGGCGAAGGCGGCUUCCUGGACCAACACUGACGCUGAGGCGCGAAAGCGU
rnacentral:rRNA from 1 species